UACAGAGGUCCCGAGCGUUGUUCGGAUUCACUGGGCGUAAAGGGUGCGUAGGUGGCAUGUUAAGUUUGAUGUGAAAGCUCAGGGCUCAACCCUGAAAUGGCAUUGAAUACUAGCGUGCGUGGAGGUUUGGAGGGGGGACUUGGAAUUCGUCGGUGUAGCAGUGAAAUGCGCAGAUAUCGAGGAGGAACACCGGUGGCGAAGGCGGAUCUCUGGGCCGAUACUGACGCUGAGGAGCGAAAGCGUGGGGAGCGAACAGG
rnacentral:rRNA from 1 species